rnacentral:lncRNA from 1 species
AUGAAAACAUAAGGUAUUCAGAUCUGAAAUCAUGGCACUCAAUCCCAAAGUGACAAGCAUUAAGAGUAACAAGUAGUAGCAAAGAUGAUAAACACCAUAGUAGAUGAUAGGCAACAUGCCCCCAACAAUGUGACGAACUAUUACAUGAUCUAAGUCAUCCAAUCCCUACCAUCCCCCUCACCCACAACACGGAAUUACUCACACAUGAAAGGGGAAGCCAUGGAAGGGUGAUGGAGUGGCAAUGGUGAUG